rnacentral:rRNA from 1 species
AUUGAACGCUGGCGGCAUGCCUUACACAUGCAAGUCGAACGGUAACGGGCCUUCGGGUGCCGACGAGUGGCGAACGGGUGAGUAAUGCAUCGGAACGUACCUUUCAGUGGGGGAUAACGUAGCGAAAGUUACGCUAAUACCGCAUAUUCUGUGAGCAGGAAAGCAGGGGAUCGCAAGACCUUGCGCUGAUUGAGCGGCCGAUGUCAGAUUAGCUAGUUGGUGAGGUAAAGGCUCACCAAGGCGACGAUCUGUAGCGGGUCUGAGAGGAUGAUCCGCCACACUGGAACUGAGACACGGUCCAGACUCCUACGGGAGGCAGCAGUGGGGAAUUUUUGGACAAUGGGCGCAAGCCUGAUCCAGCCAUGCCGCGUGAGUGAAGAAGGCCUU